ensembl:lncRNA
CUGGGAUGGGUGUUCCCUGGGACCCGCACAGCCGGAGCUCCCUGGGCUCCCGAGAUCAGGACGGGCUCUGACGUUCGGGUGGAGAUGGGAUCCGAGUCGAGGUUCUGGUACUGGUCACUUUCAGGUGGAUCAUCGGGGUGCGCGUGCAGCCGGCCUGUGAGGGGUAGCCGGGUUUGCUAAGGAGCGAGCUCGAGUCAGCUUGGUACUGCCAACAGUACUCUCAAGGCCUUGACUUUUAAAUGAGUUAAAGCCCAAGAUCACUCUGUUUUCUUUUUAAUAAGAUGAUCAACUUGGAGAAUUAGGAACUGUUCCACUUAGGAAGCUGAGACUUUAACUUUUAAAUUUUCCAAAUGUUUUAUAUGCUCGGGUUACACAUUUAAAUGUGAUGAGAACAAUACCAAAAGCGCAAUGCCAGACAGUCACAUGAAGGAAACUAGUCUUGUGAGCACGGCCCUUGGCGUGUGUCUUUGAUAGGGGCUCCCAUUCCCUAGGCCCGUCAGUUCAAAUCUAAACUGCCGACUGACUGAUGUUGAAGAGAGAGGACUCAUGCUUUACGACUACUUUGAGUCAUUUCCUUUCCUUUCCUUCCAUUUUCUCAGCUGCCAGCAGUCUUCAGUUUUGGGUUGAUGGUUGGUAGAGUGAGAACUACUGCUCACUUCAGAGUUUGUGUAAGCUUUUGUGAAGAACUCCACUCUACUCAGUGGGGAAAUCCAGCUUUGUGAUUUCAACGAAUGGAGGUUCUACUGCCUGCAGCCAUGGCUGCACCAGGGUGUGCUUCGGGUGGAUGGCUGUGAGACAUCAGAGAGCGAGGAGAGUGCAGGUGUCCAUCGAAAGCCCUGCAACGUAAGGCAUUUCGUUCAUCACCCUUCCAGCCCUGAAACAGCCUGGUGCUCCGUGGCUGCUCUGAGCAGUGACCGCUCUUGCCCGGGCCCUCCUGGGCAGUGGCCCUUCUCCCUGAGGCACGUAGGUCUGCGUGGGCCGCCUCUUAGCACACACAUUCACACAGUGCAUUGUCUGUGAAGGAGCACUGGUUGUGGGAUCCCUAAACACACUUUGAGAACAGCCAUUUGCUGCCCAGUAAGUUUAUGGAAAGUGUUCAGAAUGACUGAGAAUUUCACCUUGGUCAAGAAUUACGCCCCCACCCCCAACAGUGCUGGCAAAGGUACAGGGCAAGAGGAACCCUUACCACUGGUGGGAAUGUGAAUUAGUAUAGCCACUGUGGGGAAAUCAGUAAGGAGGCUCCUGGAACUAAGCGCAGAGCCACCUGUCCAGCUAGACCGCCCUCGGUACACACCUGAAGCAAUAGCACACUGAGGUCAGGGCUCCCAUACCCGUGUGUAGUGUGGUCCAAUAAACAGCAGACACAGUGUGCAGCCAGCUUAGCUGCCAUCGGCAGACACAUGCUUGAAGAAAAUGUGCUGCACACACACGAUGGAGUAUUAGCCAGCCAGAAAAAGAAUGAAAUUUUGUCAUUUGUAGAAAAAUGGGUGGAUGUUGAGUGAAGUAAGCCAGACUCAGAAAGACAAAUACUGUAUAUAUUCUCCCUAAUAUGUGAAAUCUAAAAAUAAUGACAAGAAAGUAGAAGAACAUCUGUUAUUUUAGACAGAGGAAGAGGGUAAAGAGGGGCAGUGCAAAGGGGGAUACACACAUAUUUGUGUGUGUAUGUGAGGUGCUGAGGAUGGAACCCAGGGCCUCACAUGGGAGGCAAACACUACUGAACCGCAUCCAGAAGCAGGUUGGAGACCUGUAACUUAUCCCUUG